CUUAGGACGCGGAAGCGACUCAAAUCGAACACACCCACAGGGAAAACGCGCGUGAUACAAGUACAUGGAGUGAACCUGUCUACUCGACGAUACAUUCGUCAAAGUACCGAAACUUUUAUUGCAUAUAUAUGUCGUUUAAAACAGGGAAAUAACAUUUAGAAGAAAGACUUUUUUAAAUAUGAAACGUUUUUCUUUUAUUUAUUUAUUUCUUUUUACCUGCGUCGUCGUCGUCGUCAAUGGAGAAGGACGAUGCUAGCUAGACCGAGGAUUUGCAAGCUAGCUAGAGGUACUGGAGAUUUGCUUCUUCUGGGACUGACAAGGGCAGCAUAAUAACCCUGCAAGUGUUCUAGUCUAAUGUCAAACACAAAAGGAAGAAAAAGAAGGAAGGCAGACAUGGUAACAAUAACAACACAGUGGAAUGGUGACGGCAAGUGCGGCUGCAGCAACAGGUCCACUGUGAUUUGUGGAAAAAUACAUGCCAAGUGUCAGAUCAUCAGGGACAAGCUAUCGACAACCAAAGCCAGAAUGCAAAUGGUGUCUGGGAACAUUUCGAACGAAAGGAGGAAACACCUCUGACUUAUCUAAGCACCUAAGAGACAGGAAUCCGGAUCUGCGCACAGACUUCAGGAUGGAUUACACUGCUGGGGGAAAACUACACAGGGAAGACACCCUUGCCACAUCUGCAGCUGAAAGAUGCAGUGUUACAUGAUUGGAACUGUCAAAUAAAGCAUACAGUCUCAAAAC